rnacentral:snRNA from 1 species
AUACUUACCUGGCGCGGGGGAUACCGUGAUCAAGAAGGCGGUGCCUCCAGGACGAGGCCUGUACAUUGCACUCCGUAUGGGCUGACUCCUGCGACUACCCAAAUCGGGGUGGCUCGGAGCGCCAUAAUUUUUGGUAGUGGGGACAAGCGUUCGCGCUGUCCCUU